AUGAAAAAUACAUUAUUUACCUUUAGCAAACUUUCUAAAAAGUGUUUUAAUGAUAUCAGAAUGAUAUUCUUCUAAUAUCUUCUGAUUUCUAAAAAAGUGUUUAUGUCUUUGAAGCCUUGUCACAGACAUUAUUUAUCAGAGGAUAUGAAGACUCAGAGGGUGGAGCUCUUUUGCUAAGAUGGUGAUUCAAAGUCAACUUUUACUGACUUUGCCAUCAGUCCUUUUCAGAAGAUCAUCCAUUAUGUUUCUCUUUUGUUGGAUAUUUUCAUUAUUCGUCGGCAUUUCUUUUGCAAACACAAUACAACCAUUAUCCUCUGAAAAGCAUGUUUUCAGAGGUGAAAAAGCGACUCUUUCUUGUAACUACACUGGCAAUGUAGAUAAUCUGCAGUGGUAUCGGCAAUAUCCUGGAUCUCGACCAGAGUACCUCAUUCUCGUCACAGAAUAUUCAGAACCUGAUCUUUCACUUCGUCUGUCAGCAAAAGCUUCAAAAGACCUAAAACAAGUGAAUCUUACAAUCUCCUCUGCUGAAGAAACAGAUUCUGCUCUUUACUACUGCGCUCUGAGGCCCACAGUGACAGGAAACACAAGAACACUGUACAAAAACCUGCAAAUUGCUUUGCAAACACAAUACAACCAUUAUCAUCUGAAAAGCAUGUUGUCAGAGGGUGGAGCUCUGCAGCCUGAUCUUUCAGACUACUGA